rnacentral:rRNA from 1 species
GAUGAACGCUGGCGGCGUGCCUAAUACAUGCAAGUCGAGCGAAUGGAUUAAGAGCUUGCUCUUAUGUAGUUAGCGGCGGACGGGUGAGUAACACGUGGGUAACCUGCCCAUAAGACUGGGAUAACUCCGGGAAACCGGGGCUAAUACCGGAUAACAUUUUGAACCGCAUGGUUCGAAAUAGACAGGCGGCUUCGGCUGUCACUUAUGGAUGGACCCGCGUCGCAUUAGCUAGUUGGUGAGGUAACGGCUCACCAAGGCAACGAUGCGUAGCCGACCUGAGAGGGUGAUCGGCCACACUGGGACUGAGACACGGCCCAGACUCCUACGGGAGGCAGCAGUAGGGAAUCUUCCGCAAUGGACGAAAGUCUGACGGAGCAACGCCGCGUGAGUGAUGAAGGCUUUCGGGUCGUAAAACUCUGUUGUUAGGGAAGAACAAGUGCUAGUUGAAUAAGCUGGCACCUUGACGGUACCUAACCAGAAAGCCACGGCUAACUACGUGCCAGCCGCCGCCGUAA